GCCUACGGGGGGCAGCAGUGGGGAAUAUUGGGCAAUGGGCGCAAGCCUGACCCAGCAACGCCGCGUGAAGGAAGAAGGCUUUCGGGUUGUAAACUUCUUUUAUGAGGGACGAAACAAAUGACGGUACCUCAUGAAUAAGCCACGGCUAACUACGUGCCAGCAGCCGCGGUAAUACGUAGGUGGCAAGCGUUAUCCGGAUUUACUGGGUGUAAAGGGCGUGUAGGCGGGACUGCAAGUCAGAUGUGAAAAUUAUGGGCUCAACCCAUAACCUGCAUUUGAAACUGAAGUUCUUGAGUGAUUGAGAG
rnacentral:rRNA from 1 species